CUUUGGUGCUAAUGUUAGGAGCAAGCCGCUGCUCUUGCUGACGGUAAACCACCACCAGACUUAUGUGGGAGUGCUGAUAUUCGGCCAUUAAGCACGGAUGACUUCAGAUUUGCUCACGAGCAGGUUUGUGCGAGUGUUUCGUCAGAGUCUGUAAACAUGACUGAACUUCUUCAAUGGAACGAACUUUAUGGAGGAGGGGGCUCCAGACGGAAGAAAUUCCUUAGCUACUUCAUGUAAAUCCGUGUAUUCAUCUGUACAAAUUCUUCCUGUUUGCUGCAAUAUUGUUGCACUGUACAAUGAUGCAUUGGUUCUUAAGUUAUACUGGUAUCUUAGUUUUUCGAGAUGGUGUAAGGGUAGAAUCGCCUCUCAAGUCAAUUUAUGGCUUAUCUGCCUUUGUUUUGUUACCCCAUCUCAGUUCCUUCAAAUAGGAAGUUUAAGCUAUCGAUAGUGUAAAUGUUAAAAGAAAAAAUAUCCGACCCCCUGCAUAUAUUUUUCUGCUCUUCUUUGUUACUAUUUUUGAAUUCGAGCAAUAAGAAAUGCUAAUUAUGGUUUCA